rnacentral:lncRNA from 1 species
GUGUGUGUGUGUGUUUAACAGGGUGUGACGUCAGCCCUGUACGAGUACGCGUGUGAUUUCUCGGAAGCCCAUGAAGUCGACCGACAGACUAACAGCGAAAGUGAAAGAAAAAGAAUAUUGGGCUCAGACACAAACACGCUGUGACGUUUUGUAGACUUUGGCACCAGGAGAGAAAAACAUGAAAUUCGACGUUGAGACUGUCGCCGCGACAGAGACAGUCCCUGAACAGCGACAGCUGGGUCUGGAGACGGGGGAGACGGGCUCUGGAUCAUGGCUCUCCUCCCUCAGAGCAGCAGGUGAGUCCACACCGUGCCUCUGGACACAGCUGGAGCUCCUGUCCUCACGGCUGGAACCCGUCUGUUCUCCUGUGGAGACUGAGGUCCGGUUCUCAUCCUGAAUGUCACGUACUUCCUCCAGGUGCCGGAGCUGGGAGGACCCUCAGAGCUUUGUCACGCCCCCUUUGGAAUGCGGUGCUGUCCGUACCCCCAGUCCGCUGGUC